GACGAACGCUGGCGGCGUGCUUAACACAUGCAAGUCGAACGCUGAAGCUUGGUGCUUGCACUGGGUGGAUGAGUGGCGAACGGGUGAGUAAUACGUGAGUAACCUGCCCUUGACUCUGGGAUAAGCCUGGGAAACUGGGUCUAAUACUGGAUACGACAUGUCACCGCAUGGUGGUGUGUGGAAAGGGUUUUACUGGGUUUGGAUGGGCUCACGGCCUAUCAGCUUGUUGGUGGGGUAAUGGCUCACCAAGGCGACGACGGGUAGCCGGCCUGAGAGGGUGACCGGCCACACUGGGACUGAGACACGGCCCAGACUCCUACGGGAGGCAGCAGUGGGGAAUAUUGCACAAUGGGCGGAAGCCUGAUGCAGCGACGCCGCGUGAGGGAUGACGGCCUUCGGGUUGUAAACCUCUUUCAGCACGGAAGAAGCGAAAGUGACGGUACGUGCAGAAGAAGCGCCGGCUAACUACGUG
rnacentral:rRNA from 1 species